UGAUGGGGUUCUACUUGGCUCCUCUUUUCCCAAAUGUUUAGGGAUAGAAAUCUUGACUCCCCCAUCCACUGAAUAAUUGUAGAUUGACUCAUCUUGUCGGAAUAGAUCGGCGGUCGGUCAACUACUUCUGUAGGCAGCCUAUCAAAUCAGAUCACGUAUUUUAUGAUAUGUCGUUCCAUCAUGUACAUGUAUUCGGUCUGAAAUUUGGAUGUUCCUGAAAUAUUUACUUAUUUCUUUUGUUUCGUAAAUUGUUUAAAUUGUUUAGUGUAUAGAGUUGUAUCGUCAAAUAUUUACCAAUAGGAAAAAAAGGUUGUGUCGUUAAAUAUCAAGCUUGUGCCAAACUCACCUAAAGUUGUAAUCAAGACAGGUUCAUCAGGACAAUCCGUUUUGACAUUAGGGCAGUCGACCAAUUCUGUACAAGGCAAGCAUUAGCAAUCUCAUUCCUUGUUUUCUACACGGCUUCAAAAUUCUGUCAUCCGUCUUUAGGUUCUCCUUGGUUCGAUCUUGAUUUCAUAUUAAUUUCUCAUUACAAAUCAAAGAAUGGGUUUAUGAUUAAGAAAUCGAAAUUGUUUGGUUGCACAAAAUAAAUCAAACCUCCCCGAAAUGUUAUCACGAUUCACGAUUCGGGCUUUCGUCGAGAUAGUUUGAGGUCCAUUGUGUUGUGUGCGAUGCAGAUCGAGAUCGGAGGAGGGAUAUCGUGUAAGAUCCUUUUGACGGAGUCGCAACGGCUUUGGUGCUAGAAACGCCUGGAAUACAUCAAUUCUCUCGGGUUCGGGCUGCACCGACGAACCCUUGAGUUAGAAGAAAUUAGAAAGGACCAAUCCAAGGCUCUCUCGGGAGAGGAAAGAAGAAAAAGAGACAAAAGCCAAAGACUCGAAUAAGCGUUCACCAGUCACAAGACUCACAACACAUCCUUCGAAGGUCCAAUCCAAACCUCUCUCUCAUGCUUUCACCGAAGAAGACAGUGGCUCAAAGAUCUAAAUCUUAUAUGGAGCUUCGUUCUGGAUAGCCCAACAGAUCGAAUUGUGGAUCCUUCAGCCUCUCUCGAAGGGAACCCUCUUCUUCCAUCUCUUCCUCACCAUAGACCGCAGUUUCAAGGCCGACUCUGAUUGUUCACAGUGGAACAUCACCACCUUCUCAGCAUAACUGGUUCAUCAUCUCUCUUCUUCAUGACAUUCCCAUUCUUCGCUCUCGUCCUCUUCGACACUCUUUGAUAAAGUUCCGUUUAUGUUGUUUAUGUGUUUUUUUUGUUUCCAAACACGGAUAAACAAACUAAAAAGUGAUUGAUAAAAGGCUCGUUUGAUAAUGUUUCAA